rnacentral:lncRNA from 1 species
UUUCACAUUUCGUUUAGCUUGAAAAAAUUGUUCGUAACAUUUUUCAAAAUAAACUUUCAUUUCAAAAAUGUAUGCGUUUGUUGUCGGUUGGGGUCGAUUAAAUAUUUCCGAGAUAAUUCGUUGGUAAAAAACAAACGAAUUAAACUAGCGCGUGUAAACAUUUUACUUGUAAGAAUGAAGAUACAUACGUUAAUAUGUAUAUGUGUAGACGUAUAUUGAGAGAGAGAGAGAGAGAGAGAGAGAGAGCUAGAGAUGGAAGAAGAAACGAGCACGUUGGAGUUGAACUUCUGUUUAAACUAAUUCUUCAAUUAAGCUUGGUAGUUUCUAUAUGUCGAGUCGGCGAAGACCAAUAAUUGCCAGAUCGUUCAGUUGCUGCGUCGUGGAACCGAGUUUAAUACCAUUGGGUGAAAGAAAGAUAGGAAGAUAACAAGAAAGAUAGAGAGAAAGAAGAUAAAUAUGAGUUUAGACCUGUUUUACGAAGUAGAAAGAUGGAUAGAUACAAAUGAUCGAAUCAUCGUAAUAAAUUUUCUAUCAGGAAAUAUCUGGUUAACUAUUGACGAUAGAAAACUCGUUUCAAUGCAGAUGAAAUCCAUGUUUCAUGUGAUAAAAGGUUAAUCGAAAAA